AGAGUUUGAUCCUGGCUCAGAAUGAACGUGGCGGCGUGGAUUAGGCAUGCAAGUCGUACGCACAGCUUCGGCUGUGAGUGGCGCAAGGGUGAGUAAUGCGAAGGUAACCAAACCCUGGGAGUUGGGGCAUAACCGCGGGAAAACUGCGGGGUAAUUCCCAGCGAUGUCGCGAGAUGGCAUCAUCUUGCGACCAAAGGUGUGAUUCCGCUCUAGGACGGGCCUUCGUGGUAUUAGGUAGUUGGUGAGGUAACGGCUCACCAAGCCGACGAUGCCUACCGGGUGUGAGAGCAUGACCCGGCACACUGGAACUGAGACACUGUCCAGACACCUACGGGUGGCUGCAGUCGAGAAUCUUCGGCAAUGGGCGAAAGCCUGACCGAGCGACGCCGCGUGAGGGAAGAAGGCCUUCGGGUUGUAAACCUCUUUCGUAGAGGAGGAAGGGGCCGUGCAGAGCGGUCUUUGACCUAUUCUAGGAAGAAGCUUGGGCUAAGUUCGUG
rnacentral:rRNA from 1 species